CUGUGAUUCAGCGGCGGACGGGUGAGUAAUGCCUAGGAAUCUGCCUGGUAGUGGGGGACAACGUUUCGAAAGGAACGCUAAUACCGCAUACGUCCUACGGGAGAAAGCAGGGGACCUUCGGGCCUUGCGCUAUCAGAUGAGCCUAGGUCGGAUUAGCUAGUUGGUGAGGUAAUGGCUCACCAAGGCGACGAUCCGUAACUGGUCUGAGAGGAUGAUCAGUCACACUGGAACUGAGACACGGUCCAGACUCCUACGGGAGGCAGCAGUGGGGAAUAUUGGACAAUGGGCGAAAGCCUGAUCCAGCCAUGCCGCGUGUGUGAAGAAGGUCUUCGGAUUGUAAAGCACUUUAAGUUGGGAGGAAGGGUUGUAGAUUAAUACUCUGCAAUUUUGACGUUACCGACAGAAUAAGCACCGGCUAACUCUGUGCCAGCAGCCGCGGUAAUACAGAGGGUGCAAGCGUUAAUCGGAAUUACUGGGCGUAAAGCGCGCGUAGGUGGUUUGUUAAGUUGGAUGUGAAAUCCCCGGGCUCAACCUGGGAACUGCAUCCAAAACUGGCAAGCUAGAGUAUGGUAGAGGGUGGGUGGAAUUUCCUGUGUAGCGGUGAAAUGCGUAGAUAUAGGAAGGAACACCAGUGGCGAAGGCGACCACCUGGACUGAUACUGACACUGAGGUGCGAAAGCGUGGGGAGCAAACAGGAUUAGAUACCCUGGUAGUCCACGCCGUAAACGAUGUCAACUAGCCGUUGGGAGCCUUGAGCUCUUAGUGGCGCAGCUAACGCAUUAAGUUGACCGCCUGGGGAGUACGGCCGCAAGGUUAAAACUCAAAUGAAUUGACGGGGGCCCGCACAAGCGGUGGAAGCAUGUGGUUUAAUUCGAAGCAACGCGAAGAACCUUACCAGGCCUUGACAUCCAUGACUUCCCAG
rnacentral:rRNA from 1 species